AUCAUGGCUCAGGACGAACGCUGGCGGCGUGCUUAACACAUGCAAGUCGAACGGAAAGGCCCUUCGGGGUACUCGAGUGGCGAACGGGUGAGUAACACGUGGGUGAUCUGCCCUGCACUUUGGGAUAAGCCUGGGAAACUGGGUCUAAUACCGGAUAGGACCACGGUCUGCAUGGAUUGUGGUGGAAAGCUUUGCGGUGUGGGAUGGGCCCGCGGCCUAUCAGCUUGUUGGUGAGGUUACGGCUCACCAAGGCGACGACGGGUAGCCGGCCUGAGAGGGUGUCCGGCCACACUGGGACUGAGAUACGGCCCAGACUCCUACGGGAGGCAGCAGUGGGGAAUAUUGCACAAUGGGCGCAAGCCUGAUGCAGCGACGCCGCGUGAGGGAUGACGGCCUUCGGGUUGUAAACCUCUUUCGCCAGGGACGAAGCGCAAGUGACGGUACCUGGAGAAGAAGCACCGGCCAACUACGUGCCAGCAGCCGCGGUAAUACGUAGGGUGCGAGCGUUGUCCGGAAUUACUGGGCGUAAAGAGCUCGUAGGUGGUUUGUCGCGUUGUUCGUGAAAACUCACAGCUUAACUGUGGGCGUGCGGGCGAUACGGGCAGACUGGAGUACUGCAUGGGGAGACUGGAAUUCCUGGUGUAGCGGUGGAAUGCUGCAGAUAUCAGGAGGAACACCGGUGGCGAAGGCGGGUCUCUGGGCAGUAACUGACGCUGAGGAGCGAAAGCGUGGGGAGCGAACAGGAUUAGAUACCCUGGUAGUCCACGCCGUAAACGGUGGGUACUAGGUGUGGGUUUCCUUCCUUGGGAUCCGUGCCGUAGCUAACGCAUUAAGUAGCCCCGCCUGGGGAGUACGGCCG
rnacentral:rRNA from 1 species